rnacentral:tRNA from 1 species
GCCCGAGUGGCGGAAUGGCAGACGCGACGGUCUCAAAAACCGUUGUCCUCUGGGCGUGUGGGUUCGACUCCCACCUCGGGCACCA